rnacentral:rRNA from 1 species
GAUGAACGCUGGCGGCGUGCCUAAUACAUGCAAGUCGAGCGAACGGACGAGAAGCUUGCUUCUCUGAUGUUAGCGGCGGACGGGUGAGUAACACGUGGAUAACCUACCUAUAAGACUGGGAUAACUUCGGGAAACCGGAGCUAAUACCGGAUGAUAUUUUGAACCGCAUGGUUCAAAAGUGAAAGACGGUCUUGCUGUCACUUAUAGAUGGAUCCGCGCUGCAUUAGCUAGUUGGCAAGGUAACGGCUUACCAAGGCGACGAUGCAUAGCCGACCUGAGAGGGUGAUCGGCCACACGGGAACUGAGACACGGUACAGACUCCUACGGGAGGCAGCGGUAGGGAAUCUUCCGGGAUGGGCGAAAGCCUGACGGAGCAAAGCCGCGUGAGUGAUGAAGGUCUUCGGAUCGUAAAACUCUGUUAUUAGGGAAGAACAUAUGUGUAAGUAACUGUGAACAUAUUGACGGUACCUAAUGAGAAAGCCACGGCUAACUACGUG